AGUCACUCUGGAAAAAUGAAAGCAGUGAGUCCUGCCCACUCUCCUGGCAGCAGAAAUGGCCCUGCUGUUCCACUUACAAAUACUGGCCAAUUCACCAUGGCCCUACCUCAGGUUCCGUCAGAUGGCAGGUGUCUGUGGUGGGAGGAGGCAAGGUCUGGAGGGCCAGAAGCCCGCUCUGAAACCAGAUGGGGAGGACCUAAGAGGAGUGUGGCCAGCGAGAAGAGGAGGCUGCUGACGGAGCGUCACUGACUUGAGGAGGAGGAGGAGGAGACUCAUCUGUCCCUGUGUUCUCCAAGUGCUUACAGGUGCCUUCCGAUGAGUGAUGGGACUCGUGGGCGAGACAGCUCAGCUCCAGAGAAGCAACUCGGCAGAGCCUCCGAGGGGAGGGAGGAGCCUCAGGGGGAGCUGCGCCCACUGAAGAGGGGAAGAGGGCUCCGAGGGAUCAAAUGAGAGGGAGGUGCUCAGUGACUGAGAGUAGGAGAGGCUCCUGCUGGGGGUGGGGGUGGGGAUGACCCAGUCACCCGGAGAAUGCUCACCGAGGGCAAGAAGAACCUCUGAGGGCAGGCGAGGGACCUGCAAAGGAAGCUGAAAUUUAGUGGGUGCAAAGGUGCGAAGGAGACUCGCAGUGGGGGAAGGGAGGCUUAGCGCAUGAAGAUCCUGGGAGCCAGAGGGGUUCGGUAAGGAUGAGGGAGGCUUAGGGGUUCCCAGGUUGCUCCCAGCAAGGAUGAAUGCCCUCGAAAUGGUGACAUCCCUUUGAAGAGUUUCCUCUGUGUCAUCAACCUGAGUCUUCUCAGCGCAGAACCUCCCCGCCACACACACACAUCUUCAUCAGGGUGGAGAUUGACAGGUGUUUUGUCAGAAUCAGGCAGGUCACUGCUCCUGACUCCUAAGGAUGAAUGAAGGGGAGUAAGACCACUUACCUCCACUUCUACUGUUGAUUAGAUCCAGAGAACCAGUUAGAUCUGGUUCAAACCCCUCACAUACUGUCCUUCCAGGUAAACUUGGACACUAAUUUCUCUGAGUGGGAGGAGAUUCUCAAUAAAUAUUUACUGGGGGCUGAGGUAAAGCUCAGUGGUCAAGUGUGUGUUCAGCAUGCACAAGGUCCUGGGUUCAAUCCCCAGCACCACAUAAAUAAAUAAAUGAAUGGAUGAACUGGAUGAAUGUUCUCUAGAUCAGCAUCCUUUUCUUCCUAAUGAAAACCCGGAGCCCCCCAAAGUUGCCUCUCAUCUCCCUGUUAUUGCCCCCAAAUAAUUCCUGUUCCUAUCUUUUUGGCAUUUCUCACAAUGUAUGUAUUUGUUUAGUUUUAUGGGGUUUUCCUCUCUUUUUUGGUACCAGGGCUUGAACCUGGGGCACUUAACCACUGAGCCACAUCCCCAGCCCUUAUUAUUUUUGAGGAAGGAUCUCACUAAGUUGCUGAGACUGGCUUUGCACUUGAGAUUCUCCUACCUAAGCCUCCCAAGCUGCUGGAAUUACAGGCAUGUGCCACCACACCUGGCUUAUUGUUUAGUUUUUAAUAAUCUUCCCCUAGACUGGUUUUGUUUAUCAUUAGAAUACUCUGGCUCUCAAUAGAGGGCAUUCAAUAUUUUUUAAAAAAAUAUUUAUUUUUUAGUUAUAGAUGGAUACACAAUAUCUUUAUUUCCUUUCUUUUUUUUUUAAUGUGGUUCUGAGGAUCGAACCCAGUGCCUCACCAUGCUAGGCGUGCACUCUACCACUGAGCCAUAACCCCAGCCCUCAAUAAUUUUCCCCCCAGUACUAGGGAUGAAAUCCUGGGUCUUAUGCAGGAUCAGAAAGAGCACUAAUACUGAGAUACACUCCCAACCCAAUAAAAAAUGUGAUUGAAUUAGGAAAUAAUGCAAGGAUGGAACUUGCUGAGAAUGAAGAGUUCUCUUUCUCCAUCCAUUCAUUUAUUCAUUCUUCCACUCAUUCAACAACUUGUUCAUUACCUCCUCUGCUGGGCUACCUGCUGAGUGGCACAGCACUGAUCAGAUGAGCCCUAUCUUCUGUGAGUCCAGCGGGCACACAGACAGGUGACUGUAGCUGGGUGAGAUUCCUACUGGAUGCGGGAGGCUGAGGGAACAGCACUAAGGCCAACUGAGUGGGGAGAGAACACAGAGGGUUUCCUCUAAGAAGUGGCAUUUCGACUGAGACCUGAAGGAUGAGUCAAAGAGAGUGAUGCAGAGAUGGUGGGGGAACAGGGAGGGAGAUUCAGGAUGCAAACAACACGUGCAAAGGACCAGGGGUGAGAGAGGUUUGGCAUCUGACAGUUUUCUUGCCACCUCUGCCUUAACUGACCUGAGCUCUACAGCCCCAGGUAUGAACAGUGGACACCUCCACAUCCUUCCUCCUCUUGUCUUUUUCCAUCUUCUCUUCAGAGUCCACAGUCAACCACCUACCUGUCAGUGCAGUCAUCCUGGAAAACACAACACUUAGAAUGAGGGAAUGCAUUUCUAAACUAUGAUGAAUAGUAUGUUUUUUCUGAUCUUUAUAAAAAGUAUACAUUCUUUACAUGGAAAAUAUUAUAAAUAAAUAAAUAAACAAUCAAGAGAGGAAAGGGACCUGAAAGAAGACACUUGUGUUUGAAUCACACCAAGGACUUUUGUCCUUUCCCAGCUGUGCAACCCGAAGAAAAGAACUUUUUUUCUGAACUUCACAGUUCUCAUCUAAGAAAUGGAACUGCUAUUGCCUCUGGCAUAGACAAAGACAGAUUAAAGACUUUGCCCAAGAUCUCCCAAAUCAGUCAUGUCUACUGACUCAAAACCUGUGCUCUGAGUCUGAGGCUCUGGAAUAGAAGAGGCAGCCCAGGCCAGACUCCCAAGGCCUGUCCAAUAGGUACCCAGUCCCUCCCUGAGGACAGUCAGGAGCAAGAGAGGUUUGCAGAGGGAAUGACCAGUGUCAGAUGGCCCCAGUCAGAUCCCCUCCAUUGCUGAGAGUUGGAUGGGGUGGGGGUCAAGGCCUGAGGAGUCUACUUUCAGGCCAGCCUAGAAGAUUCGAGGCUUCAGCUGAGAUCCAACCCCUCCCUUUCAGUAUCUUCCUGGCAACCUGGCCUGGCAUCCUCUAUGAUGUGAUCUCAGUUUAAUAAUUUAGUAGAUGCUGACAAAGAUAGCAUGGGUCUGAAAAUAACCCAGCCAGGCCCCAGCCUGCAUCUCCCCUUCCCCCAGCAAAUGACCCUGCUCUCUCCCUAAAGUCUCUAGUUACCCUGCACGCCUGUCAGUUCCCUUCCCUGCCGGUGGACACCUGAGUGGACACCUCCACAUCCUUCCUCCUCUUAUCUUUUCCCAUCUUCUCUUCAUUUCCUCUUUUUCUCCAUUCUUCCACUUUUAAAUCAAUUAGGGCUUAAAGAAGCCAGUAGACUUGGGUUUAAUUCCCUGUUUGGGCAUAAGCAAGUCUCUUCCCCUCUCCCAGCCUCUGUUCCUGCAUAAGAGGCCUCUAGAUUCCUAAAUGUUGUGUGUGGGUUGCUGAAGGGUGGGAGGUGGGGGUGGGGGGGUUCCGUGGACAGGAGACUGGAUGUCUCCCCAGGAAGGCACAACUACAGUGGCAAUAUCAUCUCAGCCAAGAGCACUCCAAGCCAGUCUGCUGCUCCAUGCAGAAAGCUCGGGCUUUCUUUGUUUUUAAUCUCUCCUGUGAUGAAAAUUUUGCCCUAGUUUUUAUUCUGGGAAUAAAAGGCUGUGACUUGUGUUCACAAUGGAGGUAGCAGAUGCCAUGUGCUUUUGAGGCUUCAUCUCAUUUAUGACAAGUAGAAAUUAUUCUCUUUACCCCUUGAAAUCUUGCUCAAAUUAUCCUACUUUUAGGGUCUCCAGUUUCUUGUGUUUGUUUGCUUUAAGAAAAACAAUUUUAUUAGGAAGACAAAAAUUAUUGUAUUCUUAAUUUGAACAGGUAGGUUAUAUAAGAAAGGAUCUGAUAGCCUGCGAGACUUGGACCCCAUUUUUUUUCUUUUGGUACUGGGAAUUAAACUGGGGCGUAUUAGCACUGAGCUACACACCCAGCCUUUUCUAUUUUUUAUUUUGAAACAGAGUCUUGCUAAGUUGCCCAGGCUGGCCUGGAAUUUCUGAUCCUCCUGCCUCCAGGGUCGUUGGGAUUACAGACAUGAACCGACACUCCUGACUUAGAUCCCAUUUAUAUGCACCUUGGUUUUUUCCUCAGACCUCUGACUUCAGCCUGGAGUUGAGCGAAGACAUGGCUUACUUUCCUUCAAAUCAUUCCUGGGCUGCAGACGAGAUGAUGGAUCUUUGAAUCAAUAAGUAGGUUACUGGCAAUAGUGCCCCUUAAUGCUGGAGAAUUUUCAGUGGUAUAUAGGAAUAAGCUGCUUCUGAAUCAGAAAGUCACUAAUUAGCAAAGUAUCCAAAACAGUAAAAUCUAUUCUAGCUACUAUUGUUACUGGAAAGAAUAAGAAAAGCUAAGCAAACGCUAGCCAUAGGCAUUUACAGAACCUGGUAUGGAACUAGCUCCCAGUUAUCCAAGUAGGUUCAAUGAUACUGGCUCAGAGGCUAGCCCUGGGGGUAAGAUGGGAAAGAUGUUUGCUCCUCAUUGUUACUUGUUUGUUUAUGUUGUUGUUGUUUUUUGGUUUGUUUCUAGUGCUGGGGAAAUACCUACCACUGAAUCUCACCAAGAUUUCAGUUUUCACAUCUUGAAAAUAGCCAGGUGGGGGCUGGGGAUAUAGCUCAGUUGGUAGAGUGCUUGCCUUGCAUGCAUAAGGCCCUGGGUUCAAUCCCCAGCAAAAGAAACAGAAGAAAAGGAAACAGCUAGAUGUUUAAAGGGCUAGUAGGACUACAGGGCUGAGAUGGUGUGUUUUCAUGCAUUCAUUCAACAAUCCAAUUAAGCACCUGCUAUAAUACCAGCCACUAUGAAAGAUGCUAGGGGCAUAGUAAUAAAUACAAAAAGUAUAAUAUCUGUUCCCACAUCUCAGAAAUCAAAAUAAUUAAAUCCCAAGAGAUGAGCCAUGAAAGAAUAACCAAGUCUCUGGUAACAUCUACUUAGUGCCAGGUACCAAUACUGUGAGGUACUAUUUAUAGCCUAUUUUACAGAUGAGGAAACUGAAGGAUAGAGUGGUGAGUGAUCAAGGUCACAUGGUCAAGAAGUGGUGGGACUAUGCCUAGAAUUCAAUGUCCAGGGAAUCUGUCUCUUGAGUGCUUCCCUAGAAAUCACCAACAAGGAAGAAACUAGUGACAGGAUAGAAAAGGGGUUCAGGAAGGGCUUCUCCUUAAAGAUGACAUUUAAGCUAAGACCUGAAACAUAAACAGGAAUCAGAAAUGUGAAACUGGGGAGAGAGAGUUCCCGACGGAAAAAAACAGCAGUGCAAAGGCCCUGAGACAGAAAUGUCAGUGUGUUCGGUGACUGGUGAGCCUGCAGGAAAAUGAACUCAGAGAUGUAACUAGGUCUGAAGGCUGGGGAGAGGAUUUCAGAUUUUACUCUCUAUGCAGGGAGAGUCUUUGAAGGAUUUAUGUUGGGGAUCAACAUGAUCUGAUUUGUUUCUAAAAGAUCAUGCUGUUUUAUGUGUAGAGAAUGCAAAGAAGGGAGUGAAAAGGAGUAGGAGGGAAAUGAUGGGGCCCACUUAGGAGAUUAUUGUAAUAAUCCAUCUGACAGAGGACAAUCCCAGGAGUAUUGGCUAGGAGUGGGCGGGGAUGGAUUUGAGUUUUAUUUGGAUGAACGAGAAGACUUGUGGAUGGAUUAGUGUCAGGGUGAGGGAAUGUCCUCUGGGUUUGUGGAUGAGGCAGCAGGAUGGAUUUUGAUGCCCUUGACUGAGAAAAGGAGGAACAGAUUUGAUGGAGAAAUCAAGGUCAAGACUUUUUCCCUUAUGUGAUAAUUACUUUAUUCCAAAAAUAAGAACAAAAGGGUUUGCAGUAAUAGCCUAUUACAUGUUUUUUUCUUUGGUGGGAUGAGUGCUGAGGAUGGAACCCAGGGCCUCCUUUGUGCUAAGCACACAGUAUACCAUUGAACUACAUCCACAGUCCCAUCUUCCUUUUUAAAAAAAAAAAAACUAAGAAAUACCUAGUAGGGGGUAAAGAUUCAGCUUUAAAGUUAGAAAUGAUACCAGGAGCAAUGGCACAUGCCUGUAAUCUCAGAGACUUGGGAGGCUGAGGCAGGAGGAUAGCAAAUUUGAGGCCAUUCUCAGAAAUUUACUGAGGCUCUAAGCAACUUAGAAAGACCCUAUCUCAAAAUAAAAAAUAAAAAGGGUCGGGAAUGUGGUUCAGUGCUUAGGCACCUCUGGGUUCAAUCCCUGGUCCCCAAAAACAACAACAACAAGAAAUUGAAUAUAGACUUAUAAAAUUGUGCUCACUAUGGAUCAGUCUAAUAUGGAAAGGCAAAACUCAACAACAAGAAAAACGAUAUGAAGAGGAAAAUGUGUGUGUGUGUGUGUGUGUAUUUCUGGUAAAGAUAUACACAGAGGGGAUAGAUAAACAUUUGGAAAAAACUUUGUUUUGGACAUCCAAGUUGGAUAGCCAUGAUAAACAGGCAGGUGUUUAGAUGUUUCUGGAAGUCAGCAGUAGAGAGUCUGGGCUGGAGAUUUAAUUCAGGGAGUCAUCAAAGUCUAGUUGGCACUUUUUUUUUUUUUUUUUUUUUUUUUUGCUGCUCAGGAUUGAACCCAGGGGUAUUUACCACUAAGCUACAUCCCCAGUCCUUUAUUUUUUUAAUCUUUUAUUCUAAUUUGUUAUAUAUGACAACAGAAUGCAUUAUAAUUCAUAUUACACAUAUAGAACACAAUUUUCAUAUCUCCGGUGGUAUAAAAAGUAUAUUCACACCAUUCGUGUCUUUAUACAUGUAUUCAGGGUAAUGGUAUCUAUCUCAUUCCACCAUCUUUUUUACCCUCAUGCCUUCUCCCUUCCCCUCCCACCCCAUUGCCCUAUCUAGAGUUCGUCUAUUCCUCCCAUGCUCCCCCUCCAAACUCCACUACGAAUAUAAGAGAAAACAUUCAGCAUUUGGUUUUUUGGGAUUAGCUAACUUCAUUUAGCAUUAUCUUCUCCAACUCCAUCCAUUUACCUGCAAAUGCCAUGAUUUUAUUUUCUUUUAUUGCUGAGUGAUAUUCCAUUGUGUAUAUAUACCACAUUUUCUUUAUCCAUUUGUCUACUGAAGGGCACCUAGGUGGGUUCCACAGUUUAGCUAUUGUGAAUUGUGCUGCUAUAAACAUGGAUGUGGCUGCGUCCCUGUAGGAUGCUGUUUUUAAGUUCUUUGGGUGUAGACUGAGGACAGGGAUAGCUGGGUUAAAUGGUGGUUCCAUUCCCAGCUUUCCAAGGAAUCUCUGAAUUGUUUUCCAUAUUAGCUGCACCAAUUUGCAGUCCCACCAGCAGUGUACGAGUGUGCCUAUAUUUUUUAUUUUGAGACAGGGUCUUGCUAAAUUGCUGAGGCUUGUCUCAAAUUUGCGAUUCUCCUGCUUGAGCCUCCAAAGUCACAGGGAUUAUAAGCAGGCACCACAACACCCAGCUCUAGAUGGUACUUAAACCAUAACAGGAUGAAUGACCUUGGGAGAAAAAUGUAGUGAUGGCCAGGAACAAGCAAAAAAUCCUGAGCAGGAGGAGGUAAUAAAGGAGGAACACAGAAAAGUGACUAAGAGCCCCUUUGUGUGCCCACAGGAAUGACCCAGCAGAGAGAGGACUACAGAUGCCUUCAGGUGGAAGAUUGUUUUGCUUUGUUUUUGUUGUUAUUGUUGGGGUUUUUUGUUUUGUUUUGUUUUGUUUUUGAGACAGGCUUUUGCUAAAUUGCCCAGGCUGGGCUAGAACUCAAGAUCCUCCUGCCUCAGGCUCCAGAGUAGCUGGGAGUAACUGGGACUACAGGCAUAUGUCACCAUGCCUGGCAUGGGAGAUUCUUAGAGUGCCUGGCUCUCUAACAAAUUCAUUCCUGCCAUGGCCUUUAUUAAGCACUUACUGCGUGGCAAAUACUGUUCCAAGUUCUGGGAAUAUGGGAGUGAUCAAGAAAGACUAAGCUCCUCUCAAUCCAGAAGAAGAGAGAGAGGCCAUAGCGAACCCAAACAAGAAUCUUGCAUGCUAUGAAGGAAGAAAACAGUGUACUGAGCACUGUGAUACACACCGAUAAUCCCAGACACUCGCAAGGCUGAGGCAGAGGAUCUCAAGUUCAAGGACAGCCUCAGCAAUUUAGCAAGGCCCUAAGCUACUUAGUGAGAUGCUUUCUCAAAAUAAAAAAUAAAAAGGGCUGGAGAUGUGGCUCAGUGGUUAAGCGCCCCUGGGUUCAAUUCCUGGUACUAAAAAGGAAAGAGAGAACAGUGAAGUGUGGUGACCAACCAAGGACACCUACACUAGACAGGGAGGUCAUCAACGGUGGAGUGGGUAUCUGGGGUUCUUGUGUUCCCAUCAUGCAUUUGUCUCAUUUUGUGGGGGCGAGUACCAAGGAUUGAACUCAGAGGCACUCGACCACUGAGCCACAUCCCCAGCCCUGUUUUGUAUUUUAUUUAGAGACAGGGUCUCACUUUGAACUUGCAAUUCUCCUGUCUCAGCUUCCCAAACUGCUGGGAUUACAGAGGUGCGCCACCACACACAGUUCCCAAUUUAUCUCACUUUUGAUAAGAGUAUCUUUGUAUUUUGGGGGGAACCACUGCUCCUCUAUAUUCAUAUUUUGUGGGGUUGACCCCACCCCAUCUCCAGGACCAGGCUUGGCACCCUGGCCCUGCCAAUGACACUACACUAAUAUAUUUACUGGAAAUAAUGAGAAAGGGAACUCUUCUUCACUUAGGUGUUGUUGGCUGAACAGAUUUUAAACUCAGGCUGCAGGUACUACCUUCUAGCCACAAGGGAAGUGAGUACCUGAGGAUGAGCCUACCUGACAGGAAAGCCCAGAAACAAAGAGAAACCUGAUGAGUGGUCAGAUCUCUAGAGCACCUAAUGCCAGCUGUACCUGAAGGUAGUUCUACCCUUGGAUUUUUCAGUUAGGUUAACCAAUAAAAUGUCUUAUAAUUGAACAGAUCCCAAUUGAUGGAGAAGACCAGAAGGAUGUCAAGGAACCAGGCUGGAAGCACUGGGAGGAGCCAUCUGGGUGGAAGGAAGAGGAAGUGCAAAGAGUCUGCAGAAGAGGGUUUGAAGCACUUAGGGAACAUGAAGUUGGCAAAUGAGGCAGGAAGACAUUGACCCGUGUUGGUGGAAUGAGAUGGGACAGAGUCGCAGGAAGAGAGUCCCAUUUCCACAAAUCAGCAGAAGAGGGAGGGGAAAUCCCAUAUAUAGCACUUUAAAAAUUAAUGGCUCUAUUAGAAAAUUAUCUUCUUAAUUUUUUUUUAAAUCUUUAUUUUAUUAUUAUUUGUUUAUCUUUAUGUGGUGCUGAGGAUCAAACCCAGUGCCUCGUGCAUGCUAGGCAAGCACCCUGCCACUGAGCUAUGCCCAAGCCCCAGAAAAUUACCUUUUGCAAGGUAUUGAUGAACCAACUAAAAAGUAAAAGGAAUAUGGACUCCAAGUAUAGCUCUGGGUAGCUUACCUAGCACCUGAAAGGCCCUGGGUAACAUCCCCAGCACCACAGAAAACAAGCAAAACGCUCUGGAUAUUUAAUGGAAUAUCCCAUUAAACAAGAAUGCUGGGCAUCCCAGAGACUCAGGAGGCUGAGGCAAGAGAGGUUUGAGGUCAGCCUCAGGAACUUAGUGAGACCCUGUCUCAAAAUAAAAUAAAGCCAGAGCCGGGCACAAUGGCGCACACUUGUAAUCCCAGUGGCUCAUGAGGCUGAGACAGGAGGAUCCCGAGUUCAAAGCCGGCCUCAGCAAAAGUGAGGCACCAACUAACUCAGUGAGACCCUGUCUCUAAAUGAAAUACAAAAUAGAGCUGGGGAUGUGGCUCAGUGGUCGAAUGCCCCUGAGUUCAAUACCCGUACCCACACUCCAAAAAAAAAAAUAAUAAUAAUAAAAAAGCCAAGUGUGGUGGCACAAGCCUGUAAUCCCCACAGCUCAGGGAGAAUUACUAGUUCAAAGCCAGCCUCAGCAACUUAGCAAGGCCUUAAGUAACUCAGUGAGACCCUAUCUCUAAUUAAAAUACAAAAAAGGGCUGGGGAUGUGGCUCAGUGAUUAAGCACCCCUGGAUUCACUCCCCAGUAUCAAAAAAAUAAAAGGGGUUGGGGAUGUAGCUCAGGGGCAAAGCGCCCCUGGGUUUAAUCCCCAGUACCAAACAAACAAGUGGUGGAUACCUGGAUAUUCAUUUUUAAAAUAUUUCUGCAAUUUAAAUGAUGCAUAUACAUUUAUAUACAUAUGUUUAUAUAUUAUUUCAUUUAUAUGUAUAAAUAAAUGUACACAU
rnacentral:lncRNA from 1 species